GUGCAGCAGUCGCGAAAACUCCGCAAUACGCGAAAGCGUGACGGGGCCAUCCCGAGUGCCGUCCGCUGAGGAUGACUUUUCCACGCUGUAAGGAGGCGUGGGAAUAAGGAGAGGGCAAGUCUGGUGUCAGCCGCCGCGGUAAUACCAGCUCUCCGAGUGGUAGGGACGAUUAUUGGGCUUAAAGCGUCCGUAGCCGGCUCAGCAAGUCUCCCGUUAAAUCCAACGAUUCAAUCGUUGGACUGCGGGAGAUACUGUUGAGCUAGGAGGCGGGAGAGGCCGACGGUAUUCCCGGAGUAGGGGUGAAAUCCUAUAAUCCCGGGAGGACCACCAGUGGCGAAGGCGGCCGGCAAAAGCGCGCCCGACGGUGAGGGACGAAAGCUGGGGGAGCGAACGGGAUUAGAUACCCCGGGAGUCC
rnacentral:rRNA from 1 species